AGACCCGAAACCCGGUGAUCUAGCCAUGGGCAGGUUGAAGGUUGGGUAACACUAACUGGAGGACCGAACCGACUAAUGUUGAAAAAUUAGCGGAUGACCUGUGGCUGGGGGUGAAAGGCCAAUCAAACCGGGAGAUAGCUGGUUCUCCCCGAAAGCUAUUUAGGUAGCGCCUCGUGAAUUCAUCUCCGGGGGUAGAGCACUGUUUCGGCUAGGGGGCCAUCCCGGCUUACCAACCCGAUGCAAACUGCGAAUACCGGAGAAUGUUAUCACGGGAGACACACGGCGGGUGCUAACGUCCGUCGUGAAGAGGGAAACAACCCAGACCGCCAGCUAAGGUCCCAAAGUCAUGGUUAAGUGGGAAACGAUGUGGGAAGGCCCAGACAGCCAGGAUGUUGGCUUAGAAGCAGCCAUCAUUUAAAGAAAGCGUAAUAGCUCACUGGUCGAGUCGGCCUGCGCGGAAGAUGUAACGGGGCUAAACCAUGCACCGAAGCUGCGGCAGCGACGCUGAUGCGUUGUUGGGUAGGGGAGCGUUCUGUAAGCCUGCGAAGGUGGCCUGUGAGGGUUGCUGGAGGUAUCAG
rnacentral:rRNA from 1 species